UGCAGCCUGCAACUCGGCUGCAUGAAGCUGGAAUCGCUAGUAAUCGCGGAUCAGAACGCCGCGGUGAAUACGUUCCCGGGUCUUGUACACACCGCCCGUCACACCAUGGGAGCCGGAAACGCCCGAAGCCAGCGGCCCAACCGCAAGGGGGGAGCUGUCGAAGGCGGGGCCGGUGACCGGGGUGAAGUCGUAACAAGGUAAC
rnacentral:rRNA from 1 species